AGUGAACGCUGGCGGUAGGCCUAACACAUGCAAGUCGAACGGCAGCACAGUAAGAGCUUGCUCUUACGGGUGGCGAGUGGCGGACGGGUGAGGAAUACAUCGGAAUCUACUUUUUCGUGGGGGAUAACGUAGGGAAACUUACGCUAAUACCGCAUACGUCCUACGGGUGAAAGCAGGGGAUCUUCGGACCUUGCGCGAUUGAAUGAGCCGAUGUCGGGUUAGCUCGUUGGCGGGGUAAAGGCCCACCAAGGCGACGAUCCGUAGCUGGUCUGAGAGGAUGAUCAGCCACACUGGAACUGAGACACGGUCCAGACUCCUACGGGAGGCAGCAGUGGGGAAUAUUGGACAAUGGGCGCAAGCCUGAUCCAGCCAUACCGCGUGAGUGAAGAAGGCCUUCGGGUUGUAAAGCCCUUUUGUUGGGAAAGAAAAGCAGCAGGUUAAUACCCCGCUGUUCUGACGGUACCCAAAGAAUAAGCACCGGCUAACUUCGUG
rnacentral:rRNA from 1 species